UAACGCGUGAGGAACCUGCCUCAAAGAGGGGGACAACAGUUGGAAACGACUGCUAAUACCGCAUAAGCCCACGGCUCGGCAUCGAGCAGAGGGAAAAGGAGCAAUCCGCUUUGAGAUGGCCUCGCGUCCGAUUAGCUAGUUGGUGAGGUAACGGCCCACCAAGGCGACGAUCGGUAGCCGGACUGAGAGGUUGAACGGCCACAUUGGGACUGAGACACGGCCCAGACUCCUACGGGAGGCAGCAGUGGGGAAUAUUGCACAAUGGGGGAAACCCUGAUGCAGCGACGCCGCGUGGAGGAAGAAGGUCUUCGGAUUGUAAACUCCUGUUGUUGAGGAAGAUAAUGACGGUACUCAACAAGGAAGUGACGGCUAACUACGUGCCAGCAGCCGCGGUAAAACGUAGGUCACAAGCGUUGUCCGGAAUUACUGGGUGUAAAGGGAGCGCAGGCGGGAGAGCAAGUUGGAAGUGAAAUCCAUGGGCUCAACCCAUGAACUGCUUUCAAAACUGUUUUUCUUGAGUAGUGCAGAGGUAGGCGGAAUUCCCGGUGUAGCGGUGGAAUGCGUAGAUAUCGGGGGGAACACCAGUGGCGAAGGCGGCCUACUGGGCACCAACUGACGCUGAGGCUCGAAAGUGUGGGUAGCAAACAGGAUUAGAUACCCUGGUAGUCCACACCGUAAACGAUGAUUACUAGGUGU
rnacentral:rRNA from 1 species